GGGGAGAGGAGAAGAGAGGAGGAGGAGGAGGAAGAAGGUGGCGCAGGAACUUUCCUUGCCCGCUGGUCCAGUUGGUCGAAGGCAGAGGAGGAGGAAGGGGUCUGCGAGGGCCGGGUGACCAGACGCCCUCCUUUUCCAGGACAUGUCCUACAUGUCAGGCUUCUGUUCAGGAGGAACUUCCACAAGGGCUGCUGCCCUUCCCUCUGAGGGGACUCUGACUAAGGAGAAGACAAAAGGGCAACUCUGCGGAAGGAAGGGAGGGAGGAAGGAAGCCUUACCCAGAGGAGAGGUAAGGAGCUGGAGAAUCCGUGGGCGAGGAAGCGAAAGCCUUGCCUUCUUUCCUCUGGAGUCCAGGGUUCAAAUCCUGGCUUGGCCAUGAAAGCCCCACCUUGGGCAAAUCCCACUCUCUCAGCCUCAGAGGAAGGCAAGGGCAAACCUUCCUCUGAACAAAUCCUGGCAAGAAAAUCCUAUGGAAUUGAUCACACUGGAGCUAGUUUCAGCACUGAAGAGAGAUGAAAGCGCAUUUGAAGCAUCCCACAGAUAAAGCAAAAACGCAACAGCAGGAGUGUGAAUUCGUCAAACUUCCACAACACUGGAGAUUUAACCCUGAUCAUCAAUCAAGAUGUGAACCUUCAUCAUGCUACUGUAAUGGGAUCACAUUUAUCCUACAAUAAAUGCAGAGAAGGGAUUUGGAGAUGAUGGAGACUUCGUCAUUAAGUUGUAGCUUAAUCAAUUCUAAUAUACCACAACUUCCUGGUAUGAUCUUGUUGGAGAUAUUUUCACCAGCUGUUAUCUUUAUCUGUAGGAGCCUAACAAACCAGGAUGUUUUCUUUAAUGUGGAUGCAAAUGGACUUGAUGAAAUUAAACCUGACAUCUUUAGCCUUGGA